rnacentral:lncRNA from 1 species
UAACAGAAAUACUAUCCAUAUGCAAAAAUCCCCAUAAAUCAAAAACGUAAAGUUCACUGAACCACGACCAGCCGUAAGCAAAUUAUCAUAUAUCAAUUAUAUAUACACAACAGUAAGUGUAUGCUUUGCAUUGGUGAACAUGUAAAUGCUGACCCCUAGAUGCAGUUGAUUUUCUCUUUUUGGCCCAAGGCACAGCAGAAUCAGUAGCAGUGUAGAUCAGACUAAACAAGCCUUUUACUGACCUCUGGUGGCGAACAUCCUUACUGCUAUUUUAUGUGCAAAGAAGAAUAAAAUACAUUUUAAAAAAGUCAAUGCAGCACUAAAAAUAACACAGACAUGCUGAGAACAGUGGAAAAUAGCCUUGAGUAAAAUUAUAACAGGUGAAGCGCUUCCAUGGCUUGGAAAUAUACAGACGUUUCAGCUCACUUUCUGAGCACGUCAAUAGGGUGCCAAGUAACGUUACAAGCAAUUGUGACCAGGAGGCUUUUCCCGCAAUGAAACCCCACAAGUAGCAGAAAGAGAAAAUAACUUUUCCCAGCAACAACAAAAAAACAGCAGCAUCCACAAGGAUACACCAGACCUUUCGGGGAGCAUGUUUGACCCGUGAACGUAGCCAUCUGCUCCGUCCACCAGAUGAUCCGUGGCUGUGUGAGAAUGCGCCCGUCUUUGUACAAACUCACUGGGCUCGACGUGGGAGAAUUCCCCCGUCCAACAAUGGAGACAAGGCAACAUUUUUAACCCAUUCCCGGCCACGCCUUCCUCAAUGGAAGGCACCCCAUCCCAUUGUCACGCUGACAAGGGAAUGAUGAACUAUCAGUUUCUCAUUACUGAACCGCAAACCACUAAAGGUGCUGUGGGUUGACUUUAAAAUAUUUUUUUAUUGUGCUCAGAUUCUUUUUUGUCGUUGCGAUGACCCAUGAAGCUCACUGGAGAUAGAGGGCAACUGAUCAACCUAUUAAAGAUGGGGAACACUUAUUGGAUAUCAUUCGACAUGGUCAUUGUCUCAAGGGAGAUGGAAGCCUAACUGCUCCUAGAGUAACUAAAGUAAAGAGAUUGUGUGUCACUCCAUUUCACAUUGAGCAACUAUUAGCUUGUCAUCAUCUUUAAAAAUAGCAUCUGUCAUCUGAAGGCAUUCAGUUUUGUUGCUAUGCAGGGAGUGAGCAGAGGGGUGUAAAGAUUAGGGAUGAAACAAAAGCCAUCUUAUCUCCAUAUGAAAUCUGAUCCGCUUGGCCACCCCCCAUCCUAUACACACACACAACUCCCCACACACUCUAAAUAACAAAAGGACUAACUAUAGAAGAGUAGUCCCGUUACAGUAGCCAACAGAUAAAUCUGUGGGUCGUGUUUCUAUUGAGCUGCUUUACAUUGAAACAAAAGUUCCAAAGAAAAUCAGUGUAGCUGUGUUAU